GACGAACGCUGGCGGCGUGCUUAACACAUGCAAGUCGAACGGAAAGGCCCUGCUUUUGUGGGGUGCUCGAGUGGCGAACGGGUGAGUAACACGUGAGUAACCUGCCCUUGACUUUGGGAUAACUUCAGGAAACUGGGGCUAAUACCGGAUAGGAGCUCCUGCUGCAUGGUGGGGGUUGGAAAGUUUCGGCGGUUGGGGAUGGACUCGCGGCUUAUCAGCUUGUUGGUGAGGUAGUGGCUUACCAAGGCUUUGACGGGUAGCCGGCCUGAGAGGGUGACCGGCCACAUUGGGACUGAGAUACGGCCCAGACUCCUACGGGAGGCAGCAGUGGGGAAUAUUGCACAAUGGGCGGAAGCCUGAUGCAGCAACGCCGCGUGCGGGAUGACGGCCUUCGGGUUGUAAACCGCUUUCGCCUGUGACGAAGCGUGGGUGACGGUAAUGGGUAAAGAAGCACCGGCUAACUACGUG
rnacentral:rRNA from 1 species